GGGGACAAUACCUUCGAUUGUUGG
rnacentral:miRNA from 1 species